UACGUAGGGGGCAAGCGUUGUCCGGAUUUAUUGGGCGUAAAGGGUGUGUAGGCGGUUGUUUAAGUUUGGUGUGAAAUCUCCCGGCUCAACUGGGAGGGUGCGCCGAAUACUGAAUGACUAGAGUGCGGGAGAGGAAAGUGGAAUUCCUGGUGUAGCGGUGAAAUGCGUAGAUAUCAGGAGGAACACCGGUGGUGUAGACGGCUUUCUGGACCGUAACUGACGCUGAGACACGAAAGCGUGGGUAGCAAACAGG
rnacentral:rRNA from 1 species